AUCCGCGAGCUAUCGGCGGUUGGACCGGCGGCUCUCGGUGGGGUUCCGGACGCGGAUCUGGCGCCGAAUUCUCACGAGACCUGAUACCUUCCUUAUUUGUAUAUUCUCUUACUUAAAAAGCCAGAUGUCUUUUUUUUUUUUUUCAUUGAAAAGAGAAAAUUGACAAGGUAAACGGUCGUUUGGAGGGGCCACCUGGGGACGCGGCCCGAGCCCUGGCUCUACCUGAAGAAUAUCUUCUAUUUGCCACACUUCCUCUCCCCGUUUCCUUUCUUCGCCCCUCUCCUCUUUCCCCUUCCCCUCGAAGGUAAUGAGAACUACUGGACCGAUUACGCUAACCUCUUGGCCCUUUGUCAAAAAAUGGAGCCAAAAAGGUUGAUUUAGACAGACCCCCUGCUCAGUGCAGCACCUGUUAUUCUCUGUAUUUAUAUUACCAAGGGCCUUCGGUAAAUUAUGAAAAAUAGGAUGCCACCUGGGACAACACUGCUUAGACAGCACUGGAAGACCUUUAUAAAUAUACUAGGUUGCUUUUCUCCAAUCAGCCUAGCCUUGAUUUGAAAUUCAUUUUUAUUUUUUUUGAGACGGUGAAAUUCAUUUUUAAAAGAUAGUUUUAACCUCAGCGAUCUCUGAUGUUUGCGCUAAUACCCUUUUAAAGGCUUUCAGAAAUUUUAAAGAAUUGCUAUGAAAGGAAAAGUAACAUUCUAGUUUUUCUCUGUAAAAGAGGUUCACAAACGGCAGAUCGCUGUUAUGAAAAGGAGGGGUGGAAGUAUUUAAGGAAUUGUGGCAAACAAAGUCACAGAAGAAUGGAUAUAAGCAAAAGUAGCACACUGAAAAAAAUGGGGAAAAGUGGAGUCUAGAUCACAAACUGGUAAGCUUGGUGAUGUUCUCUAGCCAAAUUCGAAGGUAAUAACAUUGUAUUAUGGCUUUCUGUUUAAAAGCAGUUUCGCUUAUUUGAUUAUUCAACAAAUCUUUAUUAACACGCAUUACGUGUACCAGAAACUGUGGUACACUUAACUGUGGAGCUGGGGAAGCAAAAGUGAACAUGCCGCCUUAAGUGAGUUCAGAUGGCUUAUCUUCCGGUUGGGGAGGCAUCAAGUACACAGGUCCGUUGUAAACCAGUGUCUUAAGUGCUAACCUUAUCACAUUUGCUAUUAGAGGAUAUUAAACAUGUCAGACUUCUUGGAGAAAGUUGAUAUUUUCAUGUUCCAAGUUUGGGAACAUCAUUGAAUUCAGACAGAUCUGGAUUGAAACAGAUUAAAGUGCCUACACUUUAAUA
rnacentral:lncRNA from 1 species